rnacentral:rRNA from 3 species
CAUUUUGAACCGCAUGGUUCGAAAUUGAAAGGCGGCUUCGGCUGUCACUUAUGGAUGGACCCGCGUCGCAUUAGCUAGUUGGUGAGGUAACGGCUCACCAAGGCAACGAUGCGUAGCCGACCUGAGAGGGUGAUCGGCCACACUGGGACUGAGACACGGCCCAGACUCCUACGGGAGGCAGCAGUAGGGAAUCUUCCGCAAUGGACGAAAGUCUGACGGAGCAACGCCGCGUGAGUGAUGAAGGCUUUCGGGUCGUAAAACUCUGUUGUUAGGGAAGAACAAGUGCUAGUUGAAUAAGCUGGCACCUUGACGGUACCUAACCAGAAAGCCACGGCUAACUACGUGCCAGCAGCCGCGGUAAUACGUAGGUGGCAAGCGUUAUCCGGAAUUAUUGGGCGUAAAGCGCGCGCAGGUGGUUUCUUAAGUCUGAUGUGAAAGCCCACGGCUCAACCGUGGAGGGUCAUUGGAAACUGGGAGACUUGAGUGCAGAAGAGGAAAGUGGAAUUCCAUGUGUAGCGGUGAAAUGCGUAGAGAUAUGGAGGAACACCAGUGGCGAAAGCGACUUUCUGGUCUGUAACUGACACU